UUCGCCCUUAGAGUUUCAUUCUGGCUCAGGAUGAACGCUGGCGGCGUGCCUAACACAUUCAAGUCGAACGGAGUUAAUUUAGAAGCUUGCUUCCGGAUUAACUUAGUGGCGGACGGGUGAGUAACGCGUGAGCAACCUGCCUUUGUAUGGGGGAUAACACCGGGAAACUGUGUGCUAAUACCGCAUAACAUAUACUUAUCGCAUGGUAGGUAUAUCAAAGAUUCAUUGUACAAAGAUGGGCUCGCGUCUGAUUAGAUAGUUGGUGGGGUAACGGCUCACCAAGUCGACGAUCAGUAGCCGGACUGAGAGGUUGAACGGCCACAUUGGAACUGAGAUACGGUCCAGACUCCUACGGGAGGCAGCAGUGGGGAAUAUUGGGCAAUGGGCGAAAGCCUGACCCAGCGACGCCGCGUGAAGGAAGAAGGCCUUCGGGUUGUAAACUUCAGUCAACAGGGAAGAAACAAAUGACGGUACCUGUGGAGGAAGCCACGGCUAACUACGUGCCAGCAGCCGCGGUAAUACGUAGGUGGCGAGCGUUAUCCGGAUUUACUGGGUGUAAAGGGUGUGUAGGCGGGAUUGCAAGUCAGAUGUGAAAAUUACGGGCUCAACUCGUAACCUGCAUUUGAAACUGCGAUUCUUGAGUAUCGGAGAGGUAAACGGAAUUCCCAGUGUAGCGGUGAAAUGCGUAGAUAUUGGAAGGAACACCAGUGGCGAAGGCGGUUUACUGGACGACAACUGACGCUGAGACACGAAAGCGUGGGGAGCAAACAGGAUUAGAUACCCUGGUAGUCCACGCCGUAAACGAUGAAUGCUAGGUGGUAGGCAAGAAUGUGUUUGUGCCCGCAGCUAACGCAAUAAGCAUUCCUCCUGGGGGAGUACGGCCGCCAAGUUAGAAACUCAAAGGAAUUGACGGGAGCCCGCACAAGCAGUGGAGUAUGUGGUUUAAUUCGACGCAACGCGAAGAACCUUACCAGAGCUUGACAUCCCUCUGACCGGCCGAGUAAUGUUGGCCUUUCCUUCGGGACAGAGGAGACAGGUGGUGCAUGGUUGUCGUCAGCUCGUGUCGUGAGAUGUUGGGUUAAGUCCCGCAACGAGCGCAACCCUUAUGUUUAGUUGCUACGCAAGAGCACUCUAGACAGACUGCCGUUGACAAAACGGAGGAAGGUGGGGACGACGUCAAAUCAUCAUGCCCCUUACGCCCUGGGCUACACACGUACUACAAUGGCGCAAACAAAGGGAAGCAAUACCGCGAGGUGGAGCAAAACUCAUAAAAGGCGCCCCAGUUCGGACUGCAGGCUGCAACUCGCCUGCACGAAGUUGGAAUUGCUAGUAAUCGCGGAUCAGCAUGCCGCGGUGAAUACAGAGGCCGGGCUUUGCACACACCGCCCGUCA
rnacentral:rRNA from 1 species